GCUGGGCAUGGUGGCACAUGCCUGUAGUCCAAGCUACUCUGGAGGCUGAGGUGUGAGGAUCACUUGAGCCCAGGAGCUCAAGGCUGCAGUGAGCCAAGAUUGUGCCAUUGUACUCCAGCCUGGGCAACAGAAUGAGACCUCGUCUCAA
ensembl:misc_RNA Metazoa_SRP Metazoan signal recognition particle RNA